UACGUAGGGGGCAAGCGUUGUUCGGAAUUACUGGGCGUAAAGGGCGCGUAGGCGGCCUGCUAAGUCGAACGUGAAAUCCCCGAGCUCAACUCGGGAACUGCGUCCGAUACUGGCGGGCUUGAAUCCGGGAGAGGGAUGCGGAAUUCCAGGUGUAGCGGUGAAAUGCGUAGAUAUCUGGAGGAACACCGGUGGCGAAGGCGGCAUCCUGGACCGGCAUUGACGCUGAGGCGCGAAAGCUAGGGGAGCAACCAGG
rnacentral:rRNA from 1 species